rnacentral:tRNA from 4 species
GCGGACGUGGUGAAAUUGGUAGACACACCAGAUUUAGGUUCUGGCGCCGAAAGGUGUGAGAGUUCGAGUCUCUCCGUCCGCACCA